UACGAAGGGGGCUAGCGUUGCUCGGAAUCGCUGGGCGUAAAGGGUGCGUAGGCGGGUUUUUAAGUCAGAGGUGAAAUCCUGGAGCUCAACUCCAGAACUGCCUUUGAUACUGAAAGUCUUGAGUAUGGGAGAGGUGAGUGGAACUGCGAGUGUAGAGGUGAAAUUCGUAGAUAUUCGCAAGAACACCAGUGGCGAAGGCGGCUCACUGGCCCAUAACUGACGCUGAGGCACGAAAGCGUGGGGAGCAAACAGG
rnacentral:rRNA from 1 species